UACGUAGGCGGAAAAUUAAGUCAGUAGUGAAAUCCUGCAGCUUAACUGUAGAACCGUUAUUGAUACUGGUUUUCUUGAAUAUAGUUGAGGUAGGCGGAAUGUGUAAUGUAGCGGUGAAAUGCUUAGAUAUUACACAGAACACCGAUUGCGAAGGCAGCUUACUAAGCUAUGAUUGACGCUGAGGUACGAAAGCGUGGGGAGCGAACAGGAUUAGAUACCCUGGUAGUCC
rnacentral:rRNA from 1 species